rnacentral:rRNA from 1 species
AGUGAACGUUGGCGGCGUGCCUAACACAUGCAAGUCGAACGAGAACCGAGUAGCUUGCUACUCGGGGAAAGUGGCGAACGGGUGAGUAACACGUGAGCAAUCGGCCCUCGAGUGAGGAAUAACCCCGCGAAAGCGGGGCUAAUACCGCAUAAUGCUCUGGAGCAUAAGCUUUCAGAGUUAAAGCCUCUAGGGGCGCUUGAGGAUGAGCUUGCGUCCUAUUAGCUUGUUGGUAGGGUAAUGGCCUACCAAGGUUAUGAUGGGUAGCCGGCCUGAGAGGGUGUACGGCCACACUGGAACUUAGACACGGUCCAGACUCCUACGGGAGGCAGCAGUGGGGAAUUUUGCGCAAUGGGCGAAAGCCUGACGCAGCGACGCCGCGUGGAGGAUGACGGCCUUCGGGUUGUAAACUCCUGUCAGAGGUGAAGAAAGCCCUUUCGGGGGCCUGACGGUAACCUCAGAGGAAGCCCCGGCUAACUACGUG